AUACGGAGGGUGCGAGCGUUAAUCGGAAUCACUGGGCGUAAAGCGCACGUAGGCGGUGUCGUAAGUCGGAUGUGAAAGCCCUCGGCUCAACCGGGGAACUGCAUUCGAUACUGCGAUGCUUGAGUGCCGGAGAGGGUGGCGGAAUUCCAGGUGUAGGAGUGAAAUCCGUAGAUAUCUGGAGGAACACCAGUGGCGAAGGCGGCCACCUGGCCGGCAACUGACGCUGAGGUGCGAAAGCGUGGGGAUC
rnacentral:rRNA from 1 species